GUGUGUGUGUGUAUACCUGGCAGCAUGGCGAUCAUGUUGACGCGGCUCUGCUGGAAGGUGUGUGUGUGUGUGUGUGUGUGUGUGUGUGUGUGUGUGUGUGUGUGUGUGUGUGUGUGUGUAUACCUGGCAGCAUGGCGAUCAUGUUGACGCGGCUCUGCUGGAAGGUGUGUGUGUGUACCUGGCAGCAGGGCGAUCAUGUUGACGCGGCUCUGCUGGAAGGUGUGUGUGUGUGUGUGUGUGUGUGUACCUGGCAGCAUGGCGACCAUGUUG